rnacentral:tRNA from 1 species
UGCGGGGUAGAGCAGCGGUAGCUCACCAGCCCCAUAAGCUGGGGGUCGUGGGUUCGAGUCCCACCUCCGCAACCA